GCCGCAAUGAGACGCGUCAAACGUCUUUCCCGCGCGCGCGAAUGUCAAAAUCCGAUGACGUAAGUUUUUAAAGUUAGGCAAGCGAAGAGAUGCGGCGUUUGUCUUCUGUUAAUUGUUGGAUUGGUCGGUUGCUAGCGGCCUGCAUCCAGCACCUUUAUGAGGCCGUCUGUCGAUCUUGUGGCUGGUCAUCAUACGCCAAAUGACGUCCACUGCUGGACAAAGGCCUCCACCAGGGAUUUCAAUAACGAUCGGUCCUGCGCUGGCGCAUCCAGGUACUUCCCACGACCUUCACCAGAUCUUCGGUUCACCUAGUGGGGGGCCUGAAUAGAACGUAACUCUGGAGGAGAGCUCGUGAAACUGCCAGCAUUGCCAACAAAUAAAAUUGGAGGAAAUAAACGUAAAUCAAUAU